rnacentral:rRNA from 1 species
UACGAAGGGGGCUAGCGUUGCUCGGAAUUACUGGGCGUAAAGGGCGCGUAGGCGGAUGUUUUAAGUCGGGGGUGAAAGCCCAGGGCUCAACCCUGGAAUUGCCUUCGAUACUGGACAUCUUGAGUGCGGGAGAGGUGAGUGGAACUCCGAGUGUAGAGGUGAAAUUUCGUAGAUAUUCGGAAGAACACCAGUGGCGAAGGCGACUCACUGGCCCGUUACUGACGCUGAUGCGCGAAA